ensembl:snRNA U6 U6 spliceosomal RNA
GUGUUCGCUUCAGCAGCACAUAUACUAAAAUUGGAACAAUACAGAGAAGAUUAGCAGGGCCUCUACGCAAGGAUGACAUGCAAAUAUUUGAAGUGAUCCAUAUUUUU